rnacentral:rRNA from 1 species
AUUGAACGCUGGCGGCAGGCUUAACACAUGCAAGUCGAGCGAGCGGCGGACGGGUGAGUAAUGUCUGGGAAACUGCCUGAUGGAGGGGGAUAACUACUGGAAACGGUAGCUAAUACCGCAUACCAUCAGAUGUGCCCAGAUGGGAUUAGCUAGUAGGUGGGGUAAUGGCUCACCUAGGCGACGAUCCCUAGCUGGUCUGAGAGGAUGACCAGAAACACUGGAACUGAGACACGGUGCAGAAUCCUACGGGAGGCAGCAGGGGGGAAUAGUGGACAAUGGGGGGAAGCCUGAUGCAGCCAUGCCGCGUGUGUGAAGAAGGCCUUCGGGUUGUAAAGCAAUGUCAGCGAGGAGGCGUUACUCGCAGAAGAAGCACCGGCUAACUACGUGCCAGCAGCCGCGGUAAUAC